UACGGGGGGGGCAAGCGUUGUUCGGAAUUACUGGGGGUAAAGGGCUCGUAGGCGGCCAACUAAGUCAGACGUGAAAUCCCUCGGCUUAACCGGGGAACUGCGUCUGAUACUGGUUGGCUUGAAUCCGGGAGAGGGAUGUGGAAUUCCAGGUGUAGCGGUGAAAUGCGUAGAUAUCUGGAGGAACACCGGUGGCGAAGGCGGCAUCCUGGACCGGUAUUGACGCUGAGGCGCGAAAGCUAGGGGAGCAAACGGG
rnacentral:rRNA from 1 species